rnacentral:rRNA from 1 species
ACGGGGUGCAGCAGGCGCGAAACCUUUACAAUGCACGAAAGUGUGAUAAGGGAACCCAAAGUGCUUAGCUUAGCUAAGCUUUUGCCAAGAGUAAAUAUCUUGGAGAAUAAGUGGUGGGCAAGACUGUGCCAGCCGCCGCGGUAAUACCAGCGCCACGAGUGGGAGCUAUGAUUAUUGGGCCUAAAGCGUCCGUAGCCUGUUUGAUAAAUUUCUUGUGAAAUUGUUAAGCUCAACUUAACACCAUGCAGGAAAGACUGUCAAACUUGGGACUGGGAGGAGUUAGAAGUAUCUUUGGGGUAGCGGUAAAAUGUUAUAAUCCUAAAGAGACUACCUAUGGCGAAAGCAUCUAACCAGAACAGGUCCGACGGUGAGGAACGAAAGCUAGGGGAGCAAACCGGAUUAGAUACCCGAGUAGUCCUAGCCAUAAACGCUGCGAGCAAGAUGUUGCAUAUUCUUCGAGAAUAUGCAGUAUCGAAGAGAAGUCGUUAAGCUCGCCGCCUGGGAAGUAUGGUCGCAAGACUGAAACUUAAAGGAAUUGGCGGGGGAGCAC